rnacentral:rRNA from 1 species
AACGAACGCUGGCGGCAGGCUUAACACAUGCAAGUCGAGCGAGACCUUCGGGUCUAGCGGCGGACGGGUGAGUAACGCGUGGGAACGUGCCCUUCUCUACGGAAUAGCCCCGGGAAACUGGGAGUAAUACCGUAUACGCCCUUUGGGGGCAAGAUUUAUCGGAGAAGGAUCGGCCCGCGUUGGAUUAGGUAGUUGGUGGGGUAAUGGCCCACCAAGCCUACGAUCCAUAGCUGGGUUGAGAGGAUGAGCAGCCACACUGGGACUGAGACACGGCCGAGAAUCCUACGGGAGGCAGCAGUGGGGAAUCUUAGACAAUGGGGGCAACCCUGAUCGAGCCAUGCCGCGUGAGUGAUGAAGGCCUUAGGGUUGUAAAGCUCUUUCAGCUGGGAAGAUAAUGACGGUACCAGCAGAAGAAGCCCCGGCUAACUCCGUG